AGAGUUUGAUCCUGGCUCAGGAUGAACGCUGGCGGCGUGCCUAAUACAUGCAAGUAGAACGCUGAAGCUUGGUGCUUGCACCGAGCGGAAGAGUUGCGAACGGGUGAGUAACGCGUAGGUAACCUGCCUCUUAGCGGGGGAUAACUAUUGGAAACGAUAGCUAAUACCGCAUAAAAGUCGACAUUGCAUGAUGUUGACUUGAAAGGUGCAAUGCAUCACUAAGAGAUGGACCUGCGUUGUAUUAGCUAGUUGGUGAGGUAACGGCUCACCAAGGCGACGAUACAUAGCCGACCUGAGAGGGUGAUCGGCCACACUGGGACUGAGACACGGCCCAGACUCCUACGGGAGGCAGCAGUAGGGAAUCUUCGGCAAUGGACGGAAGUCUGACCGAGCAACGCCGCGUGAGUGAAGAAGGUUUUCGGAUCGUAAAGCUCUGUUGUAAGAGAAGAACGAGUGUGAGAGUGGAAAGUUCACACUGUGACGGUAACUUACCAGAAAGGGACGGCUAACUACGUGCCAGCAGCCGCGGUAAU
rnacentral:rRNA from 1 species